UCCCGUGUUGUCACUGCAUGGCUCCUAGUUGUCAAAAGUUAAAUAACACAAACUGCGGUCACCAUGAUGUGGGUUAUCUUGCACACAUUUUAAAGUCUGCCUUUUGAUGAAGAAUUUGAGAUGAAACUACCAGCCUCGGGAUAUUGUUAUAUCUGACCAAGCUUUCAGAAUCACAAGCGUCUUUCUUAGAGGAUUACCAAACAUGAAAACAGCAGGAUAACAAGGGUCGCAUGGGGCUGGAUUGGGUGCGAUGCGGGGACAGAAAGACACCCUGGAGAGAAAGCCAGUCAAUCAAAGGGCUGACACAUAGAGACAGCCAGCCAGCCAUUCACACUCACAUUUACACCUACAGGCAAUUAGAGUUGCCAAUUAGCCUAACAUGCAUGUCUUUGGACUGUGGGAGGAAGCCGUUGGCCCCAGAGAAAAACCACGCUGACAUGGGCUACCCAGAACCUUCAUGCUGUGAGGCAACGGUGCCAACCACUGUACCACCGUGAUGCCCCCCUUUAAUACAUCUAUUAAUGUGUGACCAGUCUCAUCCACACUGAUAGUCAGUGAAGAGCGACUUGUCUCCAUCAGCUGGGAACCUUCACCAGUGUCUUUGUGUGUGCGUCUGUCAGCACAAGAGGAGGGUUUCAGGCAUCAUCACUCAGGCAUCCUCUUACUGGGCUCACUGGACUAAAGCCUGGGAACCAGACCAACAAUCGCCACUCUCAUUAAGCAAAUGGACCCAGGAAGGCAGACUGCUGCUGAACUCAAUUACAACCUCCCAUACAGGCAGGCAAAACACAAAGGCAGCAUCUGAAUAACGUGAUGGUGAAGACGGACAGGAUGUUUGCCAGUUGACAGUAAAGAGCAACAAGUAGCGAAACAAGAGGAUGACCUGAAACAAAAGUCCCGGACUUCAAAAGAGAACUUAGCUAAAUGAG